AUUAGUUUUUUAAUUGAAGGCUAGAAUGAAUGGUCGGACAAGAAAUAAUCUGUCUUAAAUAAAGAUAUUGAAUUUAACUUUUAAGUGAAAAGGCUUAAAUGAUCUAAGGGGAAGAUAAGACCCUAUAAAACUUUACAUUUUAAGGUUGAAAUUAAUUUUGUUUUGGGUCUGCUAUUUUAGAAUGUUUUGUUGGGGCGACAAGGACACAAGAACGUAUAACUGUCUUUAGGUUUUACAAUAAUCUUUGGGUUAUUGAUCCUAAAAUGGAUUAAAGAUUAAGUUACUUUAGGGAUAACAGCGUAAUUUUCUUUGAGAGUUCUUAUCGACAAGAAAGCUUGCGACCUCGAUGUUGAAUUAAAGGUUCUUUAUAGAGUAGAGUCUAUAAAAGAAGGUCUGUUCGACCUUUAAAAUUUUACAUCAUUUGAGUUCAGACCGG
rnacentral:rRNA from 1 species